rnacentral:tmRNA from 1 species
GGGGCUGAUCGGUAUCGACGCCGAUGGCAGUGGUCGUGACGUGCGACCGGAGUUGCCCAGACUCCCAAAACGGGGCACCAACAGAGACGCCAAGACGGACGAUCUCGCUCUCGCCGCCUGACCCAGUCAGGUGACCGAGAGUCAUCGCGACCGGUAACGGCACGCGGGGUCGGUCCACCGCAACCCGGCAACAGAAGCGGUGGAGACAGCUGGGACAGACCGCUGACGGCGUGAAAGACCGCUGACCCGGAGGAAAGACUCCGUGGCGGGGCCCUCGUGGCCCGCCCGACCCGGCGGGGUGGCAGCCAUCGAGCCACGCACUCGGGAAUGGUCGUAGCGCGCACGGUCAUCCUUCGACGGACGGGGGUUCGAUUCCCCCCAGCUCCACAA